AAACUGCUCAUGAAUGGUGGCUGAAAAACACUGUUUGGGGAACCUUAAAUGUUUGGCAUUAAACCAUUUGCUAAGUGUACACAAGUAUCUUUCAAUAAUGGACUCUAAAUCCAUAUUUAACAAGAUGGAUGAACCUGUUUGCCAAACUGAGCGGACAAUCAGAAUAAGAUAGGGCUCUAUUAUUUGAACUGUAGCCAUUAAAACAGUGAAGAUCUUAUAUUUGAAAGGCAAAUUCUCCAUUUUAGGAAUUUGAGAGAGUGUAAGCUUUACAAAAUUAGAGAUCAGAGGCUUGAAGGAAGGAUGGUAAAAAUGUUACAGCCCAGAAUACCUGGACCCAGAUAAUUUGUCGCGCUGGCUAUUUCUGAGUAAAGGGUGACUUAGCGGUGGGUCAACAGUGACUAGUUUUAGUUAAGUGGAAUGAAGGCUGCAUUUGCACACCUUCUGCAUGGCUGAGGGAUACCCCGCUUCCUCCCAACUCCUAUGGCUAUAAGCAGUCACAUUCCAGGUAAGGUUUUAGUCAACUGAGAGUGACACGUGGAGAUGUGUCUUUGUUGUAGACUUGCAAGGAAAGGAAGACAGAUUUUGGGACAAGUAACAUCAGAUCGAUGUUGACAAUGCUGUGCUAAGUCACCUCAUGAGCCAGUCUGAGGACUGAAGAGAAAAAAGCACUUUGAAAAAGGACUUCGGGUCUGAGUAAAGACAGUGUGUUGACUUUUGUUUUUAAUUUCCCUCCUGUGUAUUUAUAAUAAGCAGUUACCAAACAUCUUAAUAAAGUAAUUAAAAACUUGGUUGCCAAAAUUGCACAAAUUCUGCAAGCUAAUUCUAGCCUUGUCCCCUGAACUCUGCAUAACAGGGAUACAGAGGACAUUUUAUAGUCAUAAUGCUUUCUUUAGC
rnacentral:lncRNA from 1 species